UUUGUCUUUACUUUUGACAGUUGAAAUAGAACCUCUUCCUCUGUAAACUCACAUGUUACAAAUUACUAAUUUGUCCUUUUUCCUAACUGAGGCUCCUUUCCUUCAUUUUCAUCUGUAAAUACAGAACAAAAAUAUUAAUUGAGGCAGUCAGCUAGACCUUUAUCCUCUUCUACAUACCUUCCUUCUUUUGUUUUUAAUCUAACUAAUCCUUGUUUUACUUUCCUUUUCUCAUUUAUGUAUCUUAAAAAAUGUUUUUACUGACUGUGCUAUUUUCUUUUCUG